AUUCGCAAGGCGUUUGGAAAAGAUGCUGUAAGUAAUGGAAGCACCACACUUGUUUUAUCGGUUUAAAACUGACCAUAUAUUGAAGCUGAACAAUAUCAAUAUUUUCCUGAAACCUGUACCUACAAGCAAUAUCGUGUGCAAAAUUCUCUUGUAAAAUAUUUGAAAAUGGGUCAUUAAAUUGUGAUGAAUUAACCAUUAAAAAGAGGCUUUAUGCAAUGAAAAAUUGGAUAAGCGUAUUUUAAAUAAAUUAAACUAGGAUAAAAUUAGAUGUUUAACAAUUGCCGGUUAAUUCCUUGCACAAAAUUCAAACGAACGUUUUAUUGUGUUGAAAAAUUGAUUGACUACAAUUCUCCUUGCUCUGGACAAUGGGUUGACAAUGGGUUGAAGUUGGUGAACAUAGUGGAACAGUACCUAAAAAGAGGUCAAGAAAAAUUUUGUUGACUGUACAGCCCAUCAUGUGUUGAAUCUUUACAAAAAAUAGUUGACGGGGGAAGAGCAACUCUUUCAUCAUGUAGUUUACGGCUACAUAAGUCUAUCGUUUCCCAUAUUAUUAAAAAUUUUAGAAAAAAUGGCUGUGGUAGUAAGAAAAAAUAUUGAAAGAAAAUUGGUAUUUGAAUAAUUCCAGUGUCAAAAAACAAUUCAAUCUUCUCGUCAACUGAAACCAACGUGGAGGAAAUGAGAUUUGAGACUGAAAUUAGUUCAAGAAACUGUUAGAAAAUGGUUAGUGUAUGGGGGUUUGUUUGACCCCAGACUUACAAGAAACACUGGUAUCUAAUAAAAAGUAGUACAAU